GACGAACGCUGGCGGCGUGCCUAAUACAUGCAAGUCGAACGCAGUGGGGACGGGUGAGUAACACGUGGGUAACCUCCCAUCAGAGGGGAUAACACUUGGAAACAGGUGCUAAACCGAUACUGAUGGAUGGACCCGCGGUGCAUUAGCGAGUUGGUGAGGUAACGGCUCACCAAGGCCAAGAUGCAUAGCCGACCUGGGAGGGUGAUCGGCCACACUGGGACUGAGACACGGCCCAGACUCCUACGUGGGGCAGCAGUAGGGAAUCGUGCACAAUGGGCGCAAGCCUGAUGCAGCCAUGCCGCGUGUAUGAAGAAGGCCCUAGGGUUGUAAAGUACUUUCAGUCGGGAGGCGUUACCGACAGAAGAAGCACCGGCUAACUCCGUGCCAGCAGCCGCGGUAUAC
rnacentral:rRNA from 1 species